UACAGAGGGUGCGAGCGUUAAUCGGAAUUAUUGGGCGUAAAGAGCGUGUAGGCGGCCAGACAGGUCAGCUGUGAAAACUCGAGGCUCAACCUCGAGACGUCGGUUGAAACCGUUUGGCUAGAGUCCGGAAGAGGAGAGUGGAAUUCCCGGUGUAGCGGUGAAAUGCAUAGAUAUGUCACAGAACACCAAUUGCGAAGGCAGCUUACUAUGGUGUUAUUGACACUGGGGCACGAAAGCGUGGGGAUCAAACAGG
rnacentral:rRNA from 1 species